AUUACUGACGAGUCCCAAAUAGGACGAAACGCGCAUCCUGGAU
rnacentral:hammerhead_ribozyme from 1 species